UACCCGCUGAGUUUAAGCAU
rnacentral:snRNA from 1 species